rnacentral:rRNA from 1 species
CCCAGGAGCCACAAGUGGCAACCACCUUUAUUGGGCCUAAAGCGUCCGUAGCCGGUUUUGUAAAUUUUCUGUGAAAUCGUUGCGCUUAACGUAACGGCGUGCAGAAAACACUACAAGACUAGGGACCGGGAGGAGUCAGGGGUAUUUUGGGGGGAGCGGUAAAAUGCUAUAAUCCCCGAAGGACCACCUGUGGCGAAGGCGCCUGACUAGAACGGAUCCGACGGUGAGGGACGAAAGCUAGGGGAGCAAUCCGG